UGAGGAAUAUUGGUCAAUGGACGGAAGUCUGAACCAGCCAUGCCGCGUGAAGGAUGAAGGUCCUCUGGAUUGUAAACUUCUUUUUUCUGAGAAGAAAACCUGAUUUUUCAAUCAGCUUGACGGUAUCAGAAGAAUAAGCACCGGCUAACUCCGUGCCAGCAGCCGCGGUAAUACGGAGGGUGCAAGCGUUAUCCGGAUUUACUGGGUUUAAAGGGUGUGUAGGCGGGCUAUUAAGUCUAAGGUGAAAUCUUUCCGCUUAACGGAAAAACUGCCCUGGAUACUAUUAGUCUUGAAUUACGUGGAGGUAAGCGGAAUAUGACAUGUAGCGGUGAAAUGCUUAGAUAUGUCAUGGAACACCGAUAGCGAAGGCAGCUUACUACGCGUAUAUUGACGCUGAGGCACGAAAGCGUGGGUAGCGAACA
rnacentral:rRNA from 1 species